rfam:TPA: Aspergillus nidulans FGSC A4 chromosome VIII
GGCCGGUUGGUGUAGUUGGUUAUCACGUAUCGUUAACACCGAUAAGGUCGCCGGAUCGAGCCCGGCACUGGUCA